AUCACUGGUAAUGCCAGGUUAGAGAUCACUGGUAAUGCCAGUAAUGCCAGGUUAGAUAUCACUGGUAAUACCAAGUGUAACAGAACUAUGCUUGUGCCUGGACUUAUUUAUCAAUACAGUUGGAUUUACUAAAAACCGAAUAACUAUUUCAUGGGAAAUACCAUUACAGCGAAUGCAGCUCAAACUACCGAACAUCGGACCACCCAGGGGCACAGUUAAGUGGUAUUUUACCUCCCAGUGCUUUUGGAGCCAUUUACAUGGUUUCACACGAAUCCUUUGUGCUCAGAAUAGAUGGCCGCCAUUUCGGGACUUUACACGUGUUUGCGGCCAUCUUACGCACGAACAGCGGUGUUUGCCCGUGAACGCAUGGAACUAAAAACGGACACGCAAACAGGCGAACACCGCUGAGACCUCCAUGAGCCCAUAACUUCGUGCUGGAACUACCGAACGACCGGCCGUUCGGUAGUUAUGCUUAAGCUCACAUAGGGAUUUCAGCGAACACCAGUGUGACUGUGGAUGACAAGGGGUUCGUGGGGUUUUAAUGCACGAACGGAGACCGACCGCAAGGCCAAAACUUAUGGAACUCUUUUCGGCUAGAGAAUCUGUGCGGUCAGUCAAAACUUCAAAGACCCAUAACUCCCGAACCCCUCAACUGAAUGAGCUGGAAUUUGGAUAUGUUGUUCCCCUGAAUGAGAGCUAUCAAGCAGUACCCUCUGUUUUUGGGGUACAUCCAGAACUUGAGUAAAAUUGUGUAUGUUUUAAUUGUGUUACAUGUUUAUCUGAGGGGAGGAGAUGUGGGGGUUGUACCAUGUGUAUGAUUGGUUAUUGUGAUAAUUAUGUGGGUGUAGCCUUUUUCAGGGCACCAUUGUAUAAAAGGAGACCCCUGUCAAUAAACGUCAGUUCUACUUGACCCUUCAAAACGUAGCCACGUCUCGUUCUUGGAGGGGAUUUAUUGUACAGUUACUCUGCCUCAUUUUACAGCGAUGCCUGAUUGUACUCCUGGAUAUCGUGGAUGGGAAUAAGAACUCCAUUACUUCACAGCAGCUUGCCUAGAAAAGGACGUUCCAACGGCUGAUACCCCUUCCCAGCUGGGUAGCCGUUACACCAAGUUAGAGAUCACUGGUAAUGCCAGGUUAGAGAUCACUGGUAAUACCAGGUUAGAGAUCACUGGUAAGAGAUCACUGGUAAUGCCAGGUUAGAGAUCACUGGUAAUACCAGGUUAGAGAUCAGUGGUAAUGCCAG